AGUGAACGCUGGCGGUAGGCCUAACACAUGCAAGUCGAACGACAGCACAGUAAGAGCUUGCUCUUACGGGUGGCGAGUGGCGGACGGGUGAGGAAUACAUCGGAAUCUACUUUUUCGUGGGGGAUAACGUAGGGAAACUGACGCUAAUACCGCAUACGACCUACGGGUGAAAGCAGUAGAGCUUCGCACCUUGCGCGAUUGAAUGAGCCGAUGUCGGAUUAGCUAGUUGGCGGGGUAAAGGCACACCAAGGCGACGAUCCGUAGCCGGUCUGAGAGGAUGAUCAGCCACACUGGAACUGAGACACGGUCCAGACUCCUACGGGAGGCAGCAGUGGGGAAUCUUGGACAAUGGGCGCAAGCCUGACGCAGCCACACCGCGUGGGUGAAGAAGGUCUUCGGGUUGUAAAGCCCUUUUGUUGGGAAAGAACAGCAGCAGGUUAAUACCCCGCUGUUCUGACGGUACCCAAAGAAUAAGCACCGGCUAACUUCGUG
rnacentral:rRNA from 1 species